AGUAUUAUGUCUGAAAAAGAAAUAAAUUGUAAAUUUAUUCAUAAAGAUUAUAGUUCUUUUAAUACUA
rnacentral:tRNA from 1 species